rnacentral:rRNA from 1 species
UACGAAGGGGGCUAGCGUUGCUCGGAAUCACUGGGCGUAAAGCGCACGUAGGCGGAUUGCUAAGUCAGGGGUGAAAUCCUGGAGCUCAACUCCAGAACUGCCUUCGAUACUGGCGAUCUUGGAGUCCGGGAGAGGUGAGUGGAACUGCGAGUGUAGAGGUGAAAUUCGUAGAUAUUCGCAAGAACACCAGUGGCGAAGGCGGCUCACUGGCCCGGUACUGACACUGAGGUGCGAAAGCGUGGGGAGCAACAGG